AAUGGGGGCAACCCUGAUCCAGCCAUGCCGCGUGAGUGAUGAAGGCCUUAGGGUCGUAAAGCUCUUUCGCCUGUGAUGAUAAUGACAGUAGCAGGUAAAGAAACCCCGGCUAACUCCGUGCCAGCAGCCGCGGUAAUACGGAGGGGGUUAGCGUUGUUCGGAAUUACUGGGCGUAAAGCGCGCGUAGGCGGACUGUUAAGUCGGUUGUGAAAGCCCCGGGCUCAACCUAGGAACUGCAUCCGAUACUGGCAAUCUAGAGUUUAGGAGAGGUGAGUGGAAUUCCGAGUGUAGAGGUGAAAUUCGUAGAUAUUCGGAGGAACACCAGUGGCGAAGGCGGCUCACUGGCUCGAUACUGACGCUGAGGUGCGAAAGUGUGGGGAGCAGACAGGAUU
rnacentral:rRNA from 1 species